CUACUCCUGUGUUUUAUUUUUGGCUUUGCCAACGAUUCGAUGUGUGGAGAGAUGUGUGAAGCGAUGAGACAGUUGCCUCAGUUUACCGGUGCGUGAGAUCGAAGCAGUUGAGUACAGCACGAACGAGAAGGAAGUAGUAAGCAUAGAGAAUUAAUACGGAUGAAUGUGUAAGGAAUUAUUUAGGUGGAGGAACAAGGAGUUGCAGCAACCCUGGCGGGUCGGACGUUGGUGAGAGGCACUGACACUGUCAGCUGAUCAACGAUGGAAGACAACAUCGUCUAGUAACAAGGAUUGUCUCCGCGGUCAGUCAAUCUGCCGGCUGUCAGAUUUUAGUCUUUUUUCUUCAUAGUUGUGUCAGACUACAACUUGAACCCUCAACGUCUACGUAGACGAAGAUUUCCAUUCUUCAAGAGGCAGACCGUGAGAGCCCUGUUCACGACUCUAUCAUGAACGCCUUUCAAAGCAUAUUUAGAUAUUUUCGUGGAUACUGGUCACAAGGUACACCACAGGAUGAAAAAGAACAACUGGAGGAUGAAACUUUCUAUGACGCACCUGAGGACGCUCUUGAAGAUGAGUCUGAUGAAG